rnacentral:rRNA from 1 species
UACGUAGGGUGCAAGCGUUAAUCGGAAUUACUGAGCGUAAAGCGUGCGCAGGCGGUUUUGUAAGUCAGAUGUGAAAUCCCCGGGCUUAACCUGGGAACUGCGUUUGAAACUACAAAGCUAGAGUGUGGCAGAGGGGGGUGGAAUUCCACGUGUAGCAGUGAAAUGCGUAGAGAUGUGGAGGAACACCGAUGGCGAAGGCAGCCCCCUGGGUUAACACUGACGCUCAGGCACGAAAGCGUGGAGAGCAAACAGG